AUGUCCACAUCCUCUCAAAAGCCAUCAAGCCUCCCAAAGCCUCCAAGUUACAAACCACCUACUGACAUCACAAUCACAGCUCACUCACCUGAGGAAGAUGAGCCAUCCCUGCCAAAUCUUUCAGCUAAUAAUACUUUCCAUGAUUUCCAGCAUCUCAUCGAGCAAUCUGAGCAGCGGAUGCUCCUCGCAAUAGAGAGAAUGUCGACAGAUAUUUCAAAUUCUAUUGAGCGUCUGGUCCAGACUAUUCAACAGAAUCAUCCUGGUCCGGCAACCAUCACAACACCACCACAGGAGACCAUUGAGAGGCCCUGCAAAACAGUGCAGGAGCUGCAAGCUUUCAUAUUAAAACUUGAGGGCCCAGAAGGGAAAAAAAAGGAUGGUAUGUUGAUAUAGCACAGGGGUCGGCAACCUUUUUGUCACAAAGUGCCAUUUUUAAGUUCAAAAUGUAGAUCUGUGUGCAUGUAGGCUAAAUUAUCUGUAAUGAAAUACAUACACCUCUCACAUUUGCUUGUGUGCCAGCGAUUAACCCUGCUCCGUGUGCCAUUGCAACACUAACAUAUGCUUUUUAAUAUUUAUCUUUAUAUGUUGCAUAGAUACAGUUUUUGAGCCUGAUGGGAGGUAGCAACAUUGGAGACGC